rnacentral:rRNA from 1 species
CAAUAGCGUAUAUUAAAGUUGUUGCAGUUAAAAAGCUCGUAGUUGGAUUUCUGGCAGGGGGUAGCAGCCCGCUUGCAGCGUGGCCUUGCAAUCCCCUACCAUCCUUCUGUUAACGCGCCAGGGCAUUCACUUGUCGGGCGCGGGCUCAGAUAAUUUACCUUGAGAAAAUUAGAGUGUUUCAGGCAGGCUCGCGCCGGGAUACAUUAGCAUGGAAUAAUGGAAUAGGACUUUCGCCUCUUCUGUUGGUCUGAGGGUGAUCGUAAUGAUUAAUAGGGAGUAGUUGGGGGUCGAUUAGUACUUAACUAGUCAGAGGUGGAAAUUACUCGGAGUUUGUUUAAAGUAACUAACUUAAUGCGAAAGACAUUUGUCCAAGGAUGUUUUCUAUUAAUCAAGAACGAAAGUUAGGGGAUCAAAGACGAUCAGAUACCAU